rnacentral:rRNA from 1 species
UCAAUCUCGUGCGGCUAGAAGCCGCCUGUCCCUCUAAGAAGAUUGUUACGCCGGGUACCGAAGGACCCGGCGCCUAUUUAGCAGGUUAGAGUCUCGUUCGUUAU